GGCCAGAGAGAUUCAGCAGAAGAAUAAUUUCUUUUCUUCACUGUCUCCGCCUCUAGAGUAGUCAAAAACCUUUAUGGUGGAAGCUAUCCUCAUUUUAGGAAGGAAUUCAAUAGCAAGAGCUGGAUCUGCAAUGCUUGUCUACUUCCAGAGUGCACGUCUAGCUAACAGAGCACACGGACAAUAAAACAGCAGGGGGUAUUAACCAUCACUUCACAUGAGACACAAGGCACUGGAAGAAUAGAGCUCCCACCUCAGAGCACCAAGGAACACCAAGACAAGAUGAAUUU